rnacentral:rRNA from 1 species
ACAGGGGGGGCAAGCGUUGUUCGGAAUUACUGGGCGUAAAGGGCCAGUAGGCGGCCGAUUAAGUCCGACGUGAAAUCCCCAGGCUUAACCUGGGAACUGCGUCGGAUACUGAUUGGCUUGAAUUCGGGAGAGGGAUGCAGAAUUCCAGGUGUAGCGGUGAAAUGCGUAGAUAUCGGGAGGAACGCCGGUGGCGAAAGCGACUGUCUGGGGUGCCUGUGACGCUGAGGCGCGAAAGCCAGGGGAUCAAACAGGA